rnacentral:rRNA from 1 species
CAAUAGCGUAUAUUAAAGUUGUUGCAGUUAAAAAGCUCGUAGUUGAAUUUUUGCUUGCCGCCGAUGUCGGAACUUCCGUACGUUCGGCGGCGUGCAUCCUUGGGUGGAACCCGUGUGGCAUUAGGUUGUCGUGCAGGGGAUGCUCAUCGUUUACUGUGAAAAAAUUAGAGUGUUCAAAGCAGGCUUACGCCGUUGAAUAUAUUAGCAUGGAAUAAUAAGAUAGGACCUUGGUACUAUUUUGUUGGUUUGCGCACCGAGGUAAUGAUUAACAGGGACAGUUGGGGGUAUUCGUAUUCCAUUGUCAGAGGUGAAAUUCUUGGAUUUCUGGAAGACGAACUACUGCGAAAGCAUUUGCCAAGGAUGUUUUCAUUGA